CUGGAGAGAUGAUUUCUUUUCUCAGUUCUUUCUGCAGCCUUUAUUUUGCGGGAAUUCUGAACUCAUUCCUUUUUGUUUUCCCUAUAGUUUAUUGCUUCACAGGAAGGGUUGGUCAUUUUACUGAGGCGCUUACCAUUCCAGCAAAAGAUCUCAGUGUUCUGCCUCUAUCAAUACUUAACAGAAUGUUCCCCAACCCCACAUCUCUAGCUGGGAGAAAAAUAAACAGUAAACUUGCUUCCUCUUGACUUGAAUCGGAGGAUCUCACUGGAAGCGGUGGAGUCUGGUGUGAAGAGAAGAAAAUAACAGAAGCUAAAGCAUCAGAUAAUCAGCACGUGAACUCAGAUGAACUCAGAAUAGACAGACACCCAGGAAGACAACUGAACAGAUUUAUGUGGAAAACAUAGACGGGGAAAGCAUCUGAAGAGCUCAUGACAUAAUGGUCUAGUUGUAAAGUUUUGCUUUGUUUUUGUAUUUGCUUUUGCUUGCAGACAGUAAAUUUUUUAUUCAUGGGA
rnacentral:lncRNA from 1 species